rnacentral:rRNA from 1 species
GACGGAGGAUGCAAGUGUUAUCCGGAAUCACUGGGCGUAAAGCGUCUGUAGGUGGUUUCAAAAGUCCACUGUUAAAGAUUGAAGCUUAACUUCAAAAAUGACCGUGGAAACUUUGAAACUUGAGUAUGAUAGGGGUAGAGGGAAUUUCCAGUGGAGCGGUGAAAUGCGUAGAUAUUGGAAAGACCACCAAUGCGAAGGCACUCUACUGGGCCAUUACUGACACUGAGAGACGAAAGCUAGGGGAGCGAAUGGG